GUGAGGCUAAAGGUGAAAGUAAUGGGAUAAUCCAUUCUGGAAAAGAAAAGUUAUGACAUCACAGCAUCUCGGCUGAGACAUGGCUACUUCUUACUGCUCUGGGCUGCUCUCAGUUAGGGAUCAGUACAAAUGUUCAGUUUGUCAAAAUGAGGAAGAAAAAGGCUGCUCUCAAGCUCUGACUGCAGGAGCUUCCAGCAGUAACUCUGACCCCUAUCAGUCAUGAAGUGUAACUUCAUUUCCUAAGAAAUGUAGGAAAUGUGAAACCUCAGAGCGCCACAGACUCCCCUACCUUCAUUUUCCUCGAAGAUGUCAGCUAAAGAGCACUGAGGUGGAUAUCAGACACCGGCAUGGAAGCACACUCCCACAAUCUCAGUGCUCAGGGCCGGAAGAUUACAACCUGAAGGCUAGCCAGGAUUACAGAGUAAAACCAUCACUAAAUCUAAAAGACACAUCUCAGAACUGACCGACCCAAGAGCCUGGGUGGACCCCGGCAACCUCCAGAAAACUGAAACAAAACCAAGCUUCUCUAGACUCCGCGUUCUCCUCUCUCCUUGUCCAUUGCCUUUCUCUGCAGUAGUAAGCACUGGACCUAGUGGCCUGUGCAUGCUACCCAGGUGCUCUCCUGCUGAGCUGGGUCCCAGUCUCGAAACUCAACUCUAGUUUCAAUAAACUUAAG
rnacentral:lncRNA from 1 species